rnacentral:lncRNA from 1 species
CGAAUAUUUGUCGCCAGCUAGUUCAUUUUUUAACUAACCUAAUAAAUAAACCAACCUAAUAAAUCUCUCUCUGUGCCCAUCCAUGUAUUGAGCUUUUUGAGUACUGUCAAACAUCCUCAGGGAAGUUGAAAAUACAAUAAAAAAUCCUGGAAAUUCAGCCAGAUAUGACAAUGAAAUAGUUAGUUGCCAGAAUUACCCAGAAAGGAUAACAUACACAGACGGUACAUAAGUACAUAUCAUAGGAAUGGAAAUAGUAGUAAAUCAGUAACUUUGACACACUAAGUGAGUGAAGUAGAAAUAAUAAUGCUGGAAGUUACUAAUAUAUAAAUAUUUGAUAUAACCUUACAGAUAUGAAACCUUUUGAUAAUUUGGUUAUACAAUUUCAAAUACUAAUAUAAUUUUUCGGGCUUCGAACAGCUAAUAUGUCAAACAAGGACAUUUUCUUCAGCCACAGCAAUGACAUUUUCUUCUAAUUAGUUUUUCAUUCAAGUAAAGCUGAAGAUUCAGGAAUAUAAGAUAAGCGUCCUAUGGAAACAUCCAGAAUCACAUAAGGGCAGACUGCAUCAUAGUACUCUAAACAUAAACAAUCCAAAGAUUAGUGAACCUGGCAGAGAAUUUAGGAUGCUUUUAGUUAACUUAAGAGCAUUACCCCAGAUAUAAAUAUUAACAAGACUCAUCUACCCCCAUCUACCACAUGCCCAACAGCAAAAUAAGAAGAAAAAAUAUCAAUACACUUGAAGUGCCUACAUUUCUCUAUAAAAAAAGGAUCCUACUCCUAUGUCCUAACACCACCAGUAGCAAUGAAUUGCCACCCAUAAAAAUCAUGACAUCGAACUGACAUUUCCAUCGCAUGCAUAAAACAUUUCUUUUUUCUUGUACACAAGGCUCACCAGAUUGAAGAAAGCUAGAAGAAAAUGGGGCAUUUGAAAUAGGGAUACAGACCCGAAGUGAAGCAUUCAAGAACCACAUUUUACAGAUACUGAAGAAAUUUUAGUUCAUUUUUUAACUAAACGGCGACAAAUAAAAAAGAUCGGAGGGAGUACUAUUUAAGAAAUGUCAUUCUCAAAAGCUUUCCACUUCUGUUUCACAUCAUUACAUAAAAUGAAUUUCCAAUUGAACUUAUGUAGUUUAUUCUGAAGGGUCAAAAGGAUACACUUACGAGAAAAUGAUUCAUGAUUAUCCCUGAAUGCUUCAUCCUCCCAUUUUCUCCAUUUAUGGAUAUAACAACAUGCAAAAAUUGGGAUCAAUGUGACAUCAAUGUCAAUCAUAAUAUUAUGUGUGCAUAACAGGUCUGAGAAGUGAGAAUCAACAUAAUGCAA